AUUGAACGCUGGCGGCAGGCCUAACACAUGCAAGUCGAACGAGUGGCGGACGGGUGAGUAAUGUCUGGGCAACUGCCUGCUGGAGGGGGAUAACUACUGGAAACGGUAGCUAAUACCGCAUACCAUCAUAUGUUCCCAGAUGGGAUUAGCUAGUUGGUGGGGUAACGGCUCACCAAGGCGACGCUCCCUAGCUGGUCUGAGAGGAUGACCAGCCACAUUGGAACUGAGACACGAUCCAGACUCUUACGGGAGGAAGAAGUGGGGAAUAUUGCACAAUGGGCGAAAGCCUGAUGCAGCCAUGCCGCGUGUAGGAAGAAGGACUUCGGGGUGUAAAGUACUUUCAGCGGGGAGGCGUUACCCGAAGAAGAAGCACCGGCUAACUCCGUGCCAGCAGCCGCGGUAAUAC
rnacentral:rRNA from 1 species